UUUUUUUUUUUUUGUGAAUUCUAUUGUUCAGAUGUUCUUAGAAUUGAGAACUGAUUUGAAGACCCUUUCACGGUGUUGACGUUCAACUAACACAUGCAAAUGAGCAAUGCUACACCUAUGACUAUUAAGUCUUACAGGAUUUAUGUAAGGGCAAUUCCAACGCGCCGACUCAGACGGAUGCGAAAUUUGUCUGCUCUUUUGUUCGUAAUGGUUAGCCGACCAGAAGCACAUGUCCGUUUUUUUAUUUGGGUCGACCGUGCACCCAACACGACAGACGCAUAGUCCGUGUGGUCUUAAGGAAAUGAAGCACCCAUAAAAUAUUUAAAUUUAAAACAUAAUUAAAUGUUAAAAUUUAAAUCGACAGCGGCCAGAGUCCACUUCACAUAUAAUUAAACAUUAAUAAAAACUAAAAAAAUCCACCUUCCAGCCACCCCAGCCCGCAGCCCUAGGCAUCGCCCUCAUCGUCGGGCCGGCUAGGUCGAAGAAGGGCGACGGUGGCGGAGCCCGCCGGAAGGCCUGUUGGUACUUGGCCAGCGCCUCCUGCUCCGGCGUCUGCUGUGUGGCACGUGCUCCUCCUACUUACGCUCCAGCUGCAAGUGUCGCUUCGCUUCGGCCCGCUCCUUUGCCAGCGGGCCUUCCACUGUUGGAAGUAGGUCGUCUCCUGCUCCUCGAUCGCGCCCAGCCAGAUGGGCGGCGUGUUGACCCACUCCCGCGCGACGCAAAUCCCACUGGUACCUCUCCGUUGGGGCGAGUGGUGCUUUCAUGGGCUCCGUGGGCUCGUGCUUGGGCGUCACGGGUGCAGUCAGUGACGGUGGCGGUGGAGGGUAGACAUAGUCCCCCCUCCCCCUCCCCCGCCAUUGAGAGCUGGAGCACCUCCUCGAGGCCAGGCCACCCGAUACAAGACCGCGUUGGAUGACAAAAUACGUCCGGACCACGCAGUUCAGACGAUUGCAGGCUGUUUGAGUGUCUGCAUUGGAGAUGCCCUUAGGCACCCUCAUUUUGUGCCUCCUUUUCAAUAUUCUUUUAUUCAUAGUGUAAUUUCUUUUCAGAUCGCUGCUAUUUUGCGUGUAAGCUGGCAUGCAUGUUGUCCGCAAAAAUCGCAUGCUAUAUAUGCUCCCCAAGGACUUUGAGGAGGGUUACCGGACCAAUGUCAAGAAUCAUUAAAUACGCUUUGAUUUCUGCAAAUAAGGCAACCAAGUGCUACUAAAGCUCGUACGCAACAGUGAUGCACCGCAACUUGGCAGACGUGUCGUGGUUAAUCAAAAAUUCUUGUGAUGAAACAUAACAUGUUUACAGUGUCUGGAUCAAGUAGAGAGAUCUAUUGCAAGUUGUUGUUAUGUAAAGCGUUUCUGACUGUAACAUGAUCAUGAACAACUAUGAUUUUGUUUUCCCCGCAAAAAAAAAAAAAACUAUGAUUUUGUUUGUGUGACAGACACAAGGAAGGAGGACGCCGCUUCUGCUUUCACUAUGUCUCCUUGUAUAGUUGCCAUAGACUAUAGAGGCACGGUUGUAUCUUAGUAGGUGAUCGACCGAUUCUUGCAUGAGUCUAUUUGGAUGAAGUGUACAUCUUGCAUUUGACUAUAGUGCUUUUUCCCAACAAAGAUUGUGCAUUUAUUUACACUUAACAAAUACGUGACACACAUGAACAACUAACCUCAAAAGCAGAUUGUUUGAAUUUGACAACCGCCUGCCUAAGCUGCAAGAGGCCCUUUGGUUAUGCUACUCUGAGAAAGCUAUAGUUAACAUUCAUCAAGUCUACAUACUUAGAUUUCACUGAUACCUUUCUUUCUCAUCGCCGUGACUGACGGUCAUUAAACGAUGCACCAACUUGAUCCAGCUCAUCAAUUUAUCACUGAACAACGACCGCCAGGAAAAUAACCAAUGUGGUAGAGUAGGAGGGAUAGGCACGCGAGCUAUAUCGUGUAGCGAUUCUUGUAAUUCGCUGAUCAUCGGUAGUUCCUGGUGCCUCAUAUGCCUACACCUAUCAUUUCAAAUCCCUAGUGUGUAGCUACCACUGGUAGUUCCUUGUGCCUCAAACCCGUGGUGUGCAUACAUCAAAAAGCACGAUUUUUAAAAUGAAUAGGUCCACUAUAAGGAAAUGAGAUGAUGAACAAUAUGUUCAUGCAUAGCUUAGGGAAGCCUCGUUUCUUAUAAAAGACGUGGAUACAUGGUAGUGGUAGUGACAUGAAUUCACUGGUUCUUUGUUUGGUAAAUAGCUAAGAUUUCCUUGGUUAUGAGCUUGAUUCAUGGUAGGUAACAGCUUAUGAGAUAUUAAAACAAAGGCUUGGUUUGUUGUGCUCUUUUCACCUUUAUACGUUAGAGAGAAGAGAACUUUAAACAAAUGAUGGGUUUUUCGAGCUUCUUUGUCCUUGGGUAGGUACGAGUAUGUGAGAUCUUAAAACAAAAGAUGAAUUAGUUGUGAAUGGUCCUCCUCGGUAGGCUAGAGACAACGAGAACUUUAAAAACAAUUAAAUUUCUGGAUUUGUCUGUCCUUCGGUAGGCUAGCCUAUUCAACUGGGAAAGCUUUAAACAAACAAUAAAUUUCCUAAACUUUUUUAUAAAGCAUUGACCUUCAAUUUCUACAGACACAGCCAGCCAGCAUAAAAGGGCUAACCCUCCAUCCUCGAUGAGAAAAAGCGAGUUGGGCAAGUAGAACCAGACUUACCCAGUUGUUAGCAUCUACUCACUCGAAUUGCCAGUACUUCCACCGUGUUAAUUAGACUAUCCAUCAUCUCGACCGAAUAAACCAUGAGUUUAUUUGCCUUGAGGAUGUCUUCCUAAUUAUUAGUAUAUGCGAAAAAUUAUUGUACCAUACAUCGAACAAUGUGUUUUUACAUAGUUUAACAGAAUGUUGGAACAUCACAGAAGAUGCCUCCUUCUCUUUGUUGUUCAAUCUUUAUACACCUACCAGCCACCAUGGUUCGAUGGGGCCACGGAGUGCAGCUCAUGCUUAACAGAGUUGUACUGGGGUGUGCGCCCCCAUUCUCAUCCAUGUAACAAUGGAUGACGUUGAGAGACAAAAGUCAUUAUGGAUAAUAUGAGUACUAAACUGACUUGGUUUGGCAAAAAAGAAAAAUAGUGAUCUUUGAACAGGACAUAUCACGUGGACAUUGUGUGCAAGAGCAAGACGGGACUUUGCUCGAAGUGAAAUAAUUCACUAAGACCACGUUUGGAUGUCAGUAUUCAGGCCCAUGGUCACUUUCAACUAACACAUGGCACUGGCUACAAACAGAGCAACUGACCUAAUGAUCUCCAUUGUUGCUGAGUCGACCAGACUCCGAGAAUGGGCACUUGAAUGGUCGGUCCCUCCGUCAUGUGGUGAGGAGGAAUGCUUUGGUCAUGUCGAAAUUCACCGAGCUGCUUGGACCUGGCCGGUCGCAGUCGAAGUGGAAAAGCAGGCUGGCAAGCGGGAGCCCUAGGCUGGCAAGGCCCAACACCAUCCCCAGGAACAUCCUACGGCCGACGCCGAAUGGCAGGAGCGUCAAGUCGGCACCUCGAACUGUUCCGCGCUGUUGCACAAGCAUUUACUCUAGUAGUGUAAUAUCGAGACAAAAACAAUUUUAACUGAAAUCACGUGAGUUAUUUUCAAACGGAGGAGAAACAAAAUCUUAAUUAUAUCCCUAGAAAAACGGGCACGGUCUUCACUUCGAUGGGACACGCAAAUAAAAAGAUUGCCACGGGCCACGAUUUGGAUGAGCAGUAACUGCUUGACCAGUCGUGGGUAGUGCCGCUUCGAUAAGGUUGUCAGGCUAGAAAAGCACUAUUCACACAUAUGCGACCGGCCUUCGAGGCUAAGUAACCCCACGCCUUCGGGAGUUGGGAGAGUUCGGCUAAGCAGUGGUCGAAGAACGCCAUUCCUUUGAAAAAUGGUUUAUAGUAUCCUUUAAAGGGAAGGAAUCUUGAAUUACAAGAGAAGGCGAACUCGUUUGUCGAGCCAAGGACUCCGGGUCGGAAGUUAUUUACACCAAGGAGGUCAUCCUUGGCGUAGAAGACCAGUUCGGGGGCUACUGACGGUGUUCUAGACUAAGGGGUACUAACCUAAUCGGCCCGUAGUCCUCGGGAUGGGCCAGUGGACCCUCAUUCCUAUCAAGGUGGACUCCGGAAGCUGCACGCGUGAAUGCGACCAAGACUACCUCUGUCGAAGACUUGACAUAUACUCCAAGACAUCUCCUGCCGCCUCCAUGCGAUCCCCUGGAUACCGACCAUGUAACCCUAGAUGCCCCACCUGGCAUGUAUAUAAGCCAAGGGAUUUAGCCCAUAGAGGGGACCGAAUCACAACUGCAUUCACCUAGCCCUAGAGUUAGAACACAACUUACGGUCUCGAGGUAGAUCAAGCUUAUACUCGAUACAUCUCCAUCAAUACAAAUAAGAGCAGGAUGUAGGGUUUUACCUCCAUCAAGAGGCCCCGAACCUGGGUAAACAUCAUCUCCCUUGUUCCUGUUACCACAAAUCCGAGAUCCACAACUCGGGACCCCCUACCCCGAGGUUUGCCGGAUUUCACACCGACACCGCGCUUGGUAGGCCAGAGGUGGAGCUGGUCGUCCAUGGCGCCAGAGAUGACCGAUGUGGUGGGUGUCGGGCUGAUGUCUACUACACAACCUUCUUCUUGUAGACGUUGUUGGGCCUCCAAGUACAGAGGUUUGUAGGACAGUAGCAAAUUUCUCUCAAGUGGAUGACCUAAGGUUUAUCAAUCCAUAGGAGGCGUAGGAUGAAGAUGGUCUCUCUCAAGCAACCCUGCAACCAAAUAACAAAGACUCUCUUGUGUCCCCAACACACCCAAUACAAUGGUAAAUUGUAUAGGUGCACUAGUUUGGUGAAGAGAUGGUGAUACAAGUGCAAUAUGGAUAGUAGAGAAUGGUUUUUGUAAUCUAAAAAUAUAAAAACAGCAAGGUAACGAAUGAUAAAAGUGAGCGUAAACGGUAUUGCAAUGCGUUGAAACAAGGCCUAGGGUUCAUAUUUUCACUAGUGCAAGUUCCAUCAACAAUAAUAACAUAAUUGGAUCAUAUAACUAUCCCUCAACAUGCAACAAAGAGUCACUCUCAAGUCACUAAUAGCGGAGAACAAACGAAGAGAUUAUGGUAGGGUACGAAACCACCUCAAAGUUAUCCUUUCUGAUCAAUCUAUUCAAGAGUCCGUAGUAAAAUAACAUGAAGCUAUUCUUUCCGUUCAUCUAUCAUAGAGUUCGUACUAGAAUAAUACCUUAAGACACAAAUCAACCAAAACCCUAAUGUCACCUAGAUACUCCGAUGUCACCUCAAGUAACCGUGGGUAUGAUUAUACGAUAUGCAUCACACAAUCUCAGAUUCAUAUAUUCAAACCAACACAAAGUACUUCAAAGAGUGUCCCAAAGUUUCUACCGGAGAGUCAAGGCGAAAACGUGUGCCAACCCCUAUGCAUAGGUUCAUGGGAGGAACCCGCAAGUUGAUCACCAAAACAUACAUCAAGUGGAUUACAUGAUAUCCCAUUGUCACCACAGAUAAGCACGUGCAAGACAUACAUCAAGUGUUCUCAAAUCCUUAAAGACACAAGCCGAUAAGAUAACUUCAAAGGGAAAACUCAAUCCAUUACAAGAGAGUAGAGGGGGAGAAACAUCAUAAAAUCCAACUAUAAUAGCAAAGCCCGCGAUACAUCAAGAUCGUAUCACCUCAAGAACACGAGAGAGAGAGAGAGAGAGAGAUCAAACACAUAGCUACUGGUACAUACCCUCAGCCCCAAGGGAGAACUACUCCCUCCUCGCCAUGGAGAGCGCCGAGAUGAUGAAGAUGGCCAUCGGAGAGGGAUUCCUCCCUCCGGAAGGGUGCCGAAACGGGUCUAGAUUGGUUUUCGGUGGCUACGGAGGCUUCUGGCGGCGGAACUCCCGAUCUAUUGUGCUCCUCGAUGGUUUUAGGGUAUAUUGGUAUAUAUAGGAGGAAGAAAUACAUCAGGGGGGGCACGAGGGGCCCACGAGGGUGGAGGGCGCGCCCAGGGGGUGGGCGCGCACCCUGCCUCGUGCCUUCCUCAUUGCUUCCCUUACGUACACCCCAAGUCUUCUGGAUUGCUUCUGUUCCAAAAAUAAGUUCCGUGAAGUUUCAGGUCAAUUGGACUCCGUUUGAUUUUCCUUUUCUGCGAUACUCUAAAACAAGGAAAAAACCAAAACUAGCACUGGGCUCUGGGUUAAUAGGUUAGUCCCAAAAAUAAUAUAAAAGUGCAUAAUAAAGCCCAUAAACAUCCAAAACAGAUAAUAUAAUAGCAUGAAACAAUCAAAAAUUAUAGAUACCUUGGAGACGUAUCAGCAUCCCCAAGCUUAAUUCCUGCUCGUCCUCGAGUAGGUAAAUGAUAAAAACAGAAUUUUUGAUGUGGAAUGCUACCUAACAUAUUUCUCUAAGUAAUUCUCUUCAUUUUGGUAUGAAUGUUCAGAUCCAUAAGAUUCAAGACAAAAGUUUAAUAUUGACAUAAAAACAAUAAUACUUCAAGCAUACUAACUAAGCAAUCAUGUCUUCUCAAAAUAACAUGGCUAAAGAAAGCUAUCCCUACAAAAUCAUAUAGUCUGGCUAUGCUCCAUCUUCACCACACAAAGUAUUUAAAUCAUGCACAACCCCGAUGACAAGCCAAGCAAUUGUUUCAUACUUUUGAUGUUCUCAAACUUUUUCAAUCUUCACGCAAUACAUGAACGUGAGCCAUGGACAUAGCACUAUAGGUGGAAUAGAAUGGUGGUUGUGGAGAAGACAAAAAGGAGAAGAUAGUCUCACAUCAACUAGGCGUAUCAACGGGCUAUGGAGAUGCCCAUUAAUAGAUAUCAAUGUGAGUGAGUAGGGAUUGCCAUGCAACAGAUGCACUAGAGCUAUAAAUGUAUAAAAGCUCAACAAAAGAAACUAAGUGGGUGUGCAUCCAACUUGUUUGCUCACGAAGACCUAGGGCACUUGAGGAGGCCCAUUGUUGGAAUAUACAAGCCACGUUCUAUAAUGAAAAUUUCCCACUAGUAUAUGAAAGUGAUAUCAUAGGAGACUCUCUGUCAUGAAGAUCAUGGUGCUACUUUGAAGCACAAGUGUGGAAAAAGGAUAGUAGCAUUACCCUUUUUUUAUUUGGCCUUUCUUUUCUUUCUUUUUUUGGCCUUUCUCUUUUUUUGCCUUUUUUGGGACAAUGCUCUAUUAAUGAUGAUCAUCACACUUCUAUUUAUUUACAACUUCAAAGAUUACAACUCGAUACUAGAACAAAGUAUGACUCUAUAUGAAUGCCUCCGGCGGUGUACCAGGAUAGCAAUGAUGCAUGAGUGACAUGUAUGAAAGAAUUAUGAAUGGUGGCUUUGCCACAAAUACAAUGUCAACUACAUGAUCAUGCAAAGCAAUAUGACAAUUAUGGAGCAUACCAUAGUAAAUGGAACGGUGGAAAGUUGCAUGGCAAUAUAUCUCGGAAUGGCUAUGGAAAUGCCAUGAUAGGUAGGUAUGGUGGCUGUUUUGAGGAAGGUAAAUGGUGGGUUUAUGGUACCAGCGAAAGUUGCGCGGUACUAGAGAGGCUAGCAAUGGUGGAAGGGUGAGAGUGCGUAUAAUCCAUGGACUCAACAUUAGUCAUAAAGAACUCACAUACUUAUAGCAAAAAUCUAUUAGUUAUCGAAUAAAGUACUAUGCACAUGCUCCUAGGGGGAUAGAUUGGUAGGAAAAGACCAUCGCUCGUCCCUGACCGCCACUCAUAAGGAAGACAAUCAAUAAAUAAAUCAUGCUCCGACUUCGUCACAUAACGGUUCAUCAUGCGUGCAUUCUACGGGAAUCACAAACUUCAACACAAGUAUUUCUCAAAAUCACAACUACUCGACUAGCAUGACUCUAAUAUCACCAUCUCCAUAUCUCAAAACAAUUAUCAAGUGUCAAACUUCUCUUAGUAUUCAAUGCACUUCAUAUGAAAGUUUUUAUUAUAUCCCUCUUGGAUGCCCAUCAUAUUAGGACUAAAUUCAUAACCAAAGCAAACUACCAUGCUGUUCUAAAAGACUCUCAAAAUAACAUAAGUGAAGCAUGAGAGAUCAAUUAUUUCUAUAAAAUAAAAUAACCAACAUGCUCUAAAAGGAUAUAAGUGAAGCACUAGAGCAACAACAAACUACUCCAAAAGAUAUAAGUGAAGAUCAAUGAGUAGUCGAAUAAUUAUGCAACUAUGUGAAGACUCUCUAACAUUUAAGAAUUUCAGAUCUUGGGAUAUUAUUCAAACAGCAAGCAAAACAAAAUAAAAUGAAAUGACUCUCCUAGCAAAACACAUAUCAUGUGGUGAAUAAAAAUAUAGCUCCAAGUAAAGUUACCGAUGAACGAAGACGAAAGAGGGGAUGCCUUCCGGGGCAUCCCCAAGCUUAGGCUUUUGGUUGUCCUUGAAUAUUACCUUGGGGUGCCUUGGGCAUCCCCAAGCUUAGGCUCUUGCCACUCCUUGUUCCAUAAUCCAUCGAAUCUUUACCCAAAACUUGAAAACUUCACAACACAAAACUUAACAGAAAACUCGUAAGCUCCGUUAGUAUAAGAAAAUAAAUCACCACUUAGGUACUGUUCUGUGAAGGAAAUAUGCCCUAGAGGCAAUAAUAAAGUUAUUAUUUAUUUCCUUAUAUCAUGAUAAAUGUUUAUUAUUCAUGCUAGAAUUGUGUUAAACGGAAACAUGAUACAUGUGUGAAUACAUAGACAAACAGAGUGUCACUAGUAUGCCUCUACUUGACUAGCUCGUUAAUCAAAGAUGGUUAUGUUUCCUAGCCAUAGACAAAGAGUUGUCAUUUGAUUAACGGGAUCACAUCAUUAGGAGAAUGAUGUGAUUGACUUGACCCAUUCCGUUAGCUUAGCAUUUGAUCGUUUAGUUUGUUGAUAUUGCUUUCUUCAUGACUUAUACAUGUUCCUAUGACUAUGAGAUUAUGCAACUCCCGUUUACCGGAGGAACACUUUCUGUGCUAUACUAGUAGAAAAAGGGUCAAACGUGAAGCACAUUAGUGCCGGUUUGUAUUUGAGUCGGCACUAAUGUAUACAUUAGUGCCGGUUCCAACGGCUAGCCGGGCCGCUUUCAUUAGUACCGGUUCGUGGCGAACCUUUAGCACCGGUUCGUGCCACGAACCGGUACUAAUGAGAGUGGUGGCAGGAUGUUGUCAGACUGGGGCCCCUCCAGCCCCUUUAGUACCAGUUCUGGGCACGAACCGGUACUAAAGGUCGUCCUACAUAAACCCUUCGUCCACCCGAGCUAGCUCUGUUCUUCCCCUUUCCCCUCUCCUCUCUGUUCUUCCCCUCUUCCUCUUGAGCUCAUCACACAUUUUUCCCAAAAUUUGUCAAGAUUUGAAGGCCCCCAUCCAUUCAAAUGAUCACAAAGGUUAGCAACUUUGUCCUUUCAUCUCUCAUUGCUAGAUUAGCUCUUGCAAUGCUUUUUAUAGUGAUUAAUUUGUGAGUUUAGUAAUUUGGGAGGAUAUAUAUAUAUAUAUGUGCUAGUAUUUGAUUUAUAUGCAAUUUGAGGUCAAAAAUAACACUUAGUUUGCAUAUGUAGGUGUGGUUUACUUAGUGCCUUCUAAAUCUCCGUCGUAACCACCGUCGAUCGCCCGCACCGUCCCGUCGCCGGCACCACCUUGUGGUGAGCCUCUUGUUCAUGAAAUUUUAUAUAAAAAUUGAUGUUUGUGUGAUUUGGAUAUAUAGUUACUCGUAUAAUUAUCUUACCCCGUACGUCGUUUGUUAUACAUAUAGUGCCAUGGUUUUGAUAUCCGUCCCCGUCGGCCCUCGUCCUUGUUAUGAUUCGGAUGUGGUAUAUAUAUUCUCUUUUAAAACUAGUUGCAUUUCGUGUUUAUGACAAAUUAUGCCCACCAAGUUGAAAUAGAAUUUUUUUUCUAGGAGGUAUGUGAACCGGAAAUUCCAACCGACCCUAUUGUCGAGAGGUUAAAUUUAGUUGAAAGAGAAAACAAGUACUUGAAAGAAAAAUUGAAAAGAAUUGAGGGGGAGAAGAUGGAAUUGGAGUUGCAUGUUGCCGAUGUCGUCGAUGAUCACAAGAUCAAGAUGGAGAAAAUGCGCUUGAAGAUUAGAAAGAUUAGAAAAUAUGCCAUCGAUAGUGAGGCUUGGUAUCAUUAUGCUGUUGGAUCCAUUGUUAACUUAGUUGCGAUCUUGAUCGUAUUUGUUGUUGCAUUUAAAUGCUUUAGGUAGAGAGUUAUUUGUUUGUUGCAUUUAAGUGUUGUAUGAACUUUAUGUAUGAACUUGUAUUAAUUUGGUCUAUUUGGUGUUGUGUAAUGAAGAUGAGCCGGCAAUGGAUGUACGAUGACCGAUGCUCUCCCCAGUUCGUUGAGGGCGUGCAUACUUUUCUGCUUGCGGCUGAGGCAAACAAGCGGGCGGAUGGUUUUAUGCCUUGUCCAUGUGCUCGCUGUAAGAAUGGUCACAAUUACUCUACGUCAAGAACCAUUCACGUCCACCUGUUUAAUUCCGGUUUCAUGCCCCACUAUAAUGUUUGGACCAAGCACGGAGAAAGAGGGGUUAUGAUGGAAGACAAUGAAGAAGAAGAGGACGACGACAGCUAUCCUGGCCAUGGGUUCCCUGAAUACGAUGAUACAACAAUGGGGGAAGAAGCUGAGCCGGUAAUGCGGGAAGAAGCUGAGCCGGCAAUGCGGGAUGAAGCUGAAGAAGAGGCAUCAGAUGAGCCCGUUGAUGAUCUAGGUCGGGCCAUUUCCGAUGCAAAGAGAAAUUGCGCAAGUGAUUUGGAGAAGAAGAAGUUGCAGCGCAUGUUAGAGGAUCACAAAAAAUUGUUGUACCCGAAUUGCGUAGGUGACAAGAAAAAGCUGGGCACCACACUGUAAUUGCUGCAAUGGAAGGCAGAGAAUGGUGUAUCUGACAAGGGAUUUGGAAAGUUGCUGGUAAUGAUAAAUGAUAUGCUUCCAAAGGACAACGAAUUGCCCGAGAGUACGUACGAAGCAAAGAAGGCUGUCUGCCCUCUAGGGUUAGAGGUGCAGAAGAUACAUGCAUGCCCUAAUGAUUGCAUCCUCUAACGCGGUGAGUACGAGGAUUUGAACGCUUGCCCGGUAUGUGGUGCAUUGCGCUAUAAGAUCAGCCGCGAUGACCCUGGUGAUGUCAAGGGCGAGCGCCCCAGGAAGAAGAUUCCUGCCAAGGUGAUGUGGUAUGCUCCUAUAAUACCACGGUGGCACAGAGAGCAUGCCAAGGCGAUGCGAUGGCACAGAGAAGACCGUAAGAAAGACGGAAAGUUGAGAGUACCCACUGAUGGGUCGCAGUGGAGAAAAAUCGAAAGAAAGUACGGGAAGGAGUUUGCAGAUGACGCAAGGAGCGUAUGGUUUGGUCUAAGCACAGAUGGCAUUAAUCCUUUUGGGGAGCAGAGUAGCAACUAUAGCACCUGGCCUGUGACUCUAUGUUUGUAUAAUCUUCCUCCUUGGUUGUGCAUGAAGUGGAAGUUCAUUAUGAUGCCAGUGCUCAUCCAAGGCCUUAAGCAACCCGACAACGACAUUGAUGUGUACCUAAGGCCAUUAGUUGAAGAACUCUUACAAGUGUGGAAUGGAACAGGUGUACGUGCGUGGGAUGAGCACAUGGGGGAAGAAUUUGACCUAAAGGCGUUGCUGUUCGUGACCAUCAAUGAUUGGCCUGCUCUCACUAACCUUUCAGGACAGACAAACAAGGGAUACCGCGCAUGCACUAACAGAAAGUUUGUAAUUUUUUGUACCUAAAGCAAAAAUAUUCACAAAGAAACUCUAAAUACACAAAAAAAACAACUCAAAAAUAAAUAAAGCAAAAAAAAUAAAAAAAGCCCGCCUACUAGGCCAAAGCGGACGACAUAUGACUAGAAACCCAACCUGUUGUUGGGCCAGGAUGCAGGCCCGCAAAGGCCCAGUAGGCCAACAGGGCAGCACAGAACAUGUAGGCCCAGUAGGCCUGCUUUGGAGAGGAGCUCGAGAGAGCUACCGCACGGGGGUUUAUAAACCAGUGUGGUCGCCCCUCGGCUAGCAAGGUGGGACUAAACUUGCCGCACCGCACCUGCACCAGCGCACCCCCUUUAGUACCGGGUCGUGGCACCAACCGGUACUAAAGGGGAGGCCUUUAGUACCGGUUGGAGCCACCACCCGGUACUAAAGGGGGUCGCUUCCCGCCGCUUGGCCUGGCCAAAACAGGCCUUUAGUACCGGUUGGUGGCUCCAACCGGUACUAAAGGCCCCUCCUAUAUAAACAACACUUACGAAAAUUUCAGUUUCUCAUCUGCUUCUUCUCNNNNNNNNNNNNNNNNNNNNNNNNNNNNNNNNNNNNNNNNNNNNNNNNNNNNNNNNNNNNNNNNNNNNNNNNNNNNNNNNNNNNNNNNNNNNNNNNNNNNNNNNNNNNNNNNNNNNNNNNNNNNNNNNNNNNNNNNNNNNNNNNNNNNNNNNNNNNNNNNNNNNNNNNNNNNNNNNNNNNNNNNNNNNNNNNNNNNNNNNNNNNNNNNNNNNNNNNNNNNNNNNNNNNNNNNNNNNNNNNNNNNNNNNNNNNNNNNNNNNNNNNNNNNNNNNNNNNNNNNNNNNNNNNNNNNNNNNNNNNNNNNNNNNNNNNNNNNNNNNNNNNNNNNNNNNNNNNNNNNNNNNNNNNNNNNNNNNNNNNNNNNNNNNNNNNNNNNNNNNNNNNNNNNNNNNNNNNNNNNNNNNNNNNNNNNNNNNNNNNNNNNNNNNNNNNNNNNNNNNNNNNNNNNNNNNNNNNNNNNNNNNNNNNNNNNNNNNNNNNNNNNNNNNNNNNNNNNNNNNNNNNNNNNNNNNNNNNNNNNNNNNNNNNNNNNNNNNNNNNNNNNNNNNNNNNNNNNNNNNNNNNNNNNNNNNNNNNNNNNNNNNNNNNNNNNNNNNNNNNNNNNNNNNNNNNNNNNNNNNNNNNNNNNNNNNNNNNNNNNNNNNNNNNNNNNNNNNNNNNNNNNNNNNNNNNNNNNNNNNNNNAAUAGUUAGAAAUGUUAGAAUUGUUAGAAAUUUUUCUGUUUUUUAGUUAUAGAAAUAGUUAUAAAAAAGUUAGAAUUGUUAGAAAUUUUUCUGUUUUUUAGUUAUAGAAAUAGUUAUAAAAGAGUUAGAAAUUUUUCUUUUUUUAGUUCUAUAAAUAUUAGAAAUGUUAUAGAAAUGUUAGAAAUUUUAGUUAUCAAAAUCCAAUCAUUAAAAAAAUGUUACUUUUUGCGGCAUAUAGCUAGUAUUUGUUCUCGACGAUGCCCAGCCCGCAUCCUCGCCGUCGACCCGUCCGCGACGACGUCCGACUGACCCAUGUCUGGGACUGGGCUCCGCCGGGCUGGCACUGGGAGGUGCUGCCUGGAGGGGCGCGCCGCUUGAUGAGGAACCCGGCCCCGGGUCCCGUCGUCGACCCUGAUCUCAUUUGGUGGCAUUCGCGUGGGCCAGUUUCGGUGCGGAGGGAGCCGGCCCCGCCGGAGGUGGUACGUCGCCGUGUCAGGGAGGAGGACGAGCACGUCCAUCGCUACAUGGUUGCGUUAGAGGGCGGCAGGUUCUCCAAUACCUGGCAGUUUCUUCAGGGAUCUCACUUCAGCUAUGAUCCUAUGAGGGUUCCUUCUCUUUGGGUGUCCACCGCCCGCGCCGCAGGAACCGCGAGUGUCCUAGAUUCUUUUGUAGUAUUCGAUCUUUAUUAGCUACCUAGCCAGUGAUGUACUCGAUAUAUAAUAUUCAAGACGAUGUAUUCGAGAUUAUAUAUUAUUCGAGACGAUGUAUUCGAGAUUAUAUCUAUUAUUCGAGACGAUGUAUUCGAGAUUAUAUCUAUUAUUUGAGAUGAUGUAUUCGAGAUUAUAUCUAUUAUUCGAGACGAUGUAUUCGAGAUUAUAUCUAUUAUUCGAGACGAUGUAAUUUGAAUACUAAAUUGUUUUAUAUUUCUUUUGGCAUAGUUAAAUAAAAGCUAUGGCGGACAAUACCAACAGAGAGGGAGAACAGACCAUGUUUGAUAUAAUACGCGGGCCAGAUGAUAAUCAGAAUGAAGAAGAUUAUGACGGCUCCGAAUUUCUAAACAACACCGGAGAGGGUGAUAUGAUAUUCGAUCGCGACGACCGAAUUGAUGAAGUCAUGAACUACGAUUAUGACAACACCGGAGAGGUAUAUAUAUUUAUAUAAGCAGGCAUCUGGUGAUCAUCAUAUGUUUUAAAUGAGUUGAAGAUAUAUUAACGAAUCGAUCUUUCUUCUUUCAGCCAUCCGGAUCGAGCAAAUCUUCAGGCAACAGGAUGAAACGAGGCCCGAACAAAAAGUUGAAGGAGGGCGUAAAGUAUAAUAUCGAGGCAAUCAAACCUAAUGGCGAACCAUUAGCGCCUAAGAAGAUUGCGGACAAGUUCGUUCGUCAGUGCGCAGUUCUUGUGAAGGACCAACUCCCGAUCUCCCUUCAAGAAUGGAGAAAGCCAGCAAAGCCACGUCCAGAUCUUACUUUUGUCAACGAGAGACAAAAAAGUCUGCUUUGGGAUACUCUCAUGGAACAUUUCACCCUACCAGAUCAUUUCACAGAAGCAGAUGUGCAGAAAGUCAAGGACGCUGCUCUUAGGAAGAUGGCGGUUGCAUUCAAGAACCACAAGAAUCGUGAAUGGGACAAGUACGUCAAGGGAGGAAGGAAGACUCCAGUAUUCGAGGGAACACUAGAGAAUCAAAGUGCUCAUUGGGACAAUUUCGUGAAAUUCAAGGAUUCAGAAUUAUCUAAGGAACGGUCAAGAAUAAACAAGGCCAAUGCCGCAAAAAAGGAUAAGUUCCAUAAGCUGGGGCCAGGUGGCUAUGCGGUGGGAAUGCCUAAGUGGGAUAAGUCUGAGAAAGAGAUGCUGGAUGCAAGUGUCACUCCAAAAACAUUGAGCUGGCCCCCCAGGUGCAGGACUUGGUUCUAUGCGCAUGGGGGGAGUUGGACCCGAAGACAGGCAAAGUUUCCAAGAAGGCAUGUCUGGACGGAGCCAAAGAUAAGCUACUUGUUGCAAUAGAAGAGGCUCGAUCCGGGUUGUUCGAGCCCAACAGAGAGAACGACGAGCUUACGCGUGCCCUAGGAAAUCCUGAACACCCGGGAAGAACGCGAGGCAUGGGCGCUAUUCUGUGGUAUGAGGGGUUUUCAGACUGGAACGCCGACUACAAAACCCGUGCGAGAAAGAAGAUUGCGGAGGAGAAGAAGAGGAAGAUGGAGGAGGAGCAGAAGAAGCUCGACUAUGAAUGCCUUCAAGGCCUAGAAUUAGCGCACGCGGACUUGGCAAUCAAAUUCCAGCGGCAGCAGGAGCAGAUCGACUCACUUAACCAGCAAAGGGGGUCUCAGCAGCUGCAGCAGCUAGCGGAUGAUCCAGCAUUGGAUACCACCGCCCCAUCCAUGCCGAGAAGCAGCGUGGGUUCCGCCCCGUUUGACGCAAUGCUGGAUAGAUACCCCGUGGAUGAUAUCGCGGAGAACACUAACUGCGAGCUACACUUCAAAAUUAAGAACAUAUCCUUGAAGGUGGAUGUCAAGAAGGAUCAUUACUACCAUGAGAAUGCUGUGACCGUUGAGUAUUCUGAACUGUUUCAGUUAUACAAUCAAGACGCACUCGACAAAUCUAUCGUCAGUUGCUAUUGUCUGUAAGUGAUUUCUUUCUGUAAUUUAAGUCUCAAGCUAGUUGUAGUGAUCAUUUUGAUCAAUCAUUACCUGUAAUUAUCCUCACUAUAUUCUUUUCUGUGGUAUUAUGCAGGAUGAAGAUGUAUAAAAUGAGAAAAUGUGGACGCUAUGGCAUUGGGUUCAUUGACCCAAACACCGUUAAUGAAUACACAUGGAAAACAAACAAGCAUUAUGAAAAGAAGGUAGAGGACAGCAUGCUAGAGUUCUUGAAGCACCUCAAAUACAAUGAAGAUAUACUAUUUCCUUACAACUUCCAGUGAGUCACACUUUCUUGUACUACAAAUUCUCUGUUUUUGCCUACUAGCUAGCUACAUGUUUUUGCUUACAUAUGCCCGCUUAAUUAAGACAUGCAAACGUGUGUGCAUGCAGAUUUCACUGGAUCUUGUGUAUCAUUAAGUUGACGCCGGAACAGUUCAAAUACUGGACUCACUACUCAAAGCAAAUAGUGACUAUAACAUCUUGUUUGGGAUAGUCAACAGGUAAUUUCAAUCAUUAUUAACUAUAUAUCUCGGCCUAUUUAGUUCGUCAUUUCAUGAUAUGAACUAUUUAAUAACCCCUUUAUUCAUUUUCUUUGUCGGCGGGCAGGGCUUGGGCAAGGUUCAUCAGUGUCACAGAAGGCGAAUGGAAACGACAGCUGAAAUGGUUUCGACCCAAGGUAAGUAAUUAAGUAGUACUAGCUAGCUAGCUAGCUGCCAUCUCUUUAAUUAUCAUGCUUGAUUAACUAUUAUCUGAUCAAAUUAAAUUCCAUUCUCGUAAUAAAGGCCCUGAAGCAGGCGCAGGGAACUGAUCUGUGUGCAUUCUAUGUUUGUGAGAACAUUCGCAUGAUGGCGUCCGAAAGGAGCAGAUCUCAAAGACGGGAAUGGAUACGCUUGUCAGAACACUAUUCACAAUUUUUACACCAUUAUCGAUAUCUAGUCACACAACUAAUACACAUGCAUAUUGAUCUCCUUCUUAACAGUUCAAAGAGGUGCGGGACAAGCUCCUAAAAAUGGAGCGCGAAGAAGCACUUCAAGAGGAAAUAGCGGGAUUUUUGCUCGACCAGGUCAUAAAUCCGAAGGGAGAAUACUAUUUACCCGCUACCGCCCCCAUCGACCAGGUCAUGAACCACUUCCAAUUGUCAUCGUGCUACGAAGGCACCAAUUAGGCUAAUGCCACUGGCUCCGAAGGCAACAUGCAUAUGUAGGAGAAAUUGUAUAUAGCUAUACAUGUGUGUAUGUGUGAAUUAAUAUGGUGGUUUGUGACACAUUGAUGAUAUAUAUAUGAUUGGUUCUACUAGAAAUUAUAUUUAUAUAUAUAUAUAUAUAUAUAUAUAUAUAUAUAUAUAUAUAUAUAUAUGCAUAAUGUGUACAAUUUGUAGUAUCGUAAAAUACCAGCAAACGAAAAAGAAUUAAAAUGGAAAACACAAAAUUAAAUGAAAAAUAAAUCAUAAAACCAAAAAACCCCCAAACAUUUUAGUACCGGUUGGUGUUACCAACCGGUACUAAAUGGCUCCUGGCCCCCGGAGCUGGCUCGUGGCACGUGGUUGCCCUUUAGCACCGGUUCGUGCUGAACGGUACUAAAGGGGGGGCCUUUAGUGACCACACUUUACUGUCGGUUAUGGAACCGGCACUAAAGGGCCUUACGAACCGGUGCUAUUGCUCGGUUCUGCACUAGUGCUACCAAACGUCACAACGUAACUGGGUGAUUAUAAAGGUGCUCUACAGGUGUCUCCGAAGGUACUUGUUGGGUUGGAUGACAUAUUAUAUGUGGAUGACAUAUUGUUGAUUGGAAAUGAUAUAGAAUUUCUGGAUAGCAUAAAAGGAUAUUUGAAUAAGAGUUUUUCAAUGAAGGACCUCGGUGAAGCUGCUUAUAUAUUGGGCAUCAAGAUCUAUAGAGAUAGAUCAAGACGCUUAAUUGGACUUUCACAAAGCACAUACCUUGACAAAGUUUUGAAGAAGUUCAAAAUGGAUCAAGCAAAGAAAGGGUUCUUGCCUGUGUUACAAGGUGUGAAGUUGAGUAAGACUUAAUGCCCGACCACUGCAGAAGAUUGAGAGAAGAUGAAAGAUGUUCCCUAUGCUUCAACCAUAGGCUCUAUCAUGUAUGCAAUGCUGUGUACCAGACCUGAUGUGUGCCUUGCUAUAAGUUUAGCAGGGAGGUACCAAAGUAAUCCAAGAGUGGAUCAUUGGACAGCGGUCAAGAACAUCCUAAAAUACCUGAAAAGGACUAAGGAUAUGUUUCUCAUUUAUGGAGGUGACAAAGAGCUAGUCGUAAAUGGUUACGUCGAUGCAAACUUUGACACUGAUUCGGACGAUUCUAAAUCACAAACGGGAUACAUGUUUACAUUGAAUGGUGGAGCUGUCAGUUGGUGCAGUUCCAAACAAAGCAUUGUGGCGGGAUCUACGUGUGAAGCGGAGUACAUAGCUGCUUCGGAAGCAGCAAAUGAAGGAGUUCAUAUCCGAUCUAGGUGUCAUACCUAGUGCAUCGGGUUCAAUGAAAAUCUUUUGUGACAAUACUGGUGCAAUUGCCUUGGCAAAGGAAUCCAGAUUUCACAAGAGAACCAAGCACAUCAAAAGACGCUUCAACUCCAUCCGGGAUCAAGUCCAGGUGGGAGACAUAGAGAUUUGCAAGAUACAUACGGAUUUGAAUGUUGCAGACAUGUUGACUAAACCUCUUCCAUGAGCAGAACAUGAUCAGCGCCAAGACUCCAUGGGUGUUAGAAUCAUUACUGUGUAAUCUAGAUUAUUGACUCUAGUGCAAGUGGGAGACUGAAGGAAAUAUGCCCUAGAGGCAAUAAUAAAGUUAUAAUUUAUUUCCUUAUAUCAUGAUAAAUUUUUAUUAUUCAUGCUAGAAUUAUAUUAAACGGAAACAUGAUACAUGUGUGAAUACAUAGACAAACAGAGUGUCACUAGUAUGCCUCUACUUGACUAGCUCGUUAAUCAAAGAUGGUUAUGUUUCCUAGCCAUAGACAAAGAGUUGUCAUUUGAUUAACGGGAUCACAUCAUUAGGAGAAUGAUGUGAUUGACUUGACCCAUUCCGUUAGCUUAGCAUUUGAUAGUUUAGUUUGUUGAUAUUGCUUUCUUCAUGACUUAUACAUAUUCCUAUGACUAUGAGAUUAUGCAACUCCCGUUUACCGGAGGAACACUGUGUGCUACAAAAUGUCACAACGUAACUGGGUGAUUAUAAAGGUGCUCUAUAGGUGUCUCCGAAGGUACUUGUUGGGUUGGCGUAUUUCAAGAUUAGGAUUUGUCACUCCGAUUGUCGGAGAGGUAUCUCUGGGCCCACUCGGUAAUACACAUCACUUAAGCCUUGCAAGCAUUGCAACUAAUGAGUUAGUUGCGGGAUGAUGUGUUACCGAACGAGUAAAGAGACUUGCCGGUAACGAGAUUGAACUAGGUAUUGAGAUACCGAUGAUCGAAUCUCGGGCAAGUAACAUACCGAUGAAAAAGGGAACAACAUAUGUUGUUAUGCGGUUCGACCGAUAAAGAUCUUCGUAGAAUAUGUAGGAGCCAAUAUGGGCAUCCAGGUUCCUCUAUUGGUUAUUGACCAGAGAAAUGUCUCGGUCAUGUCUACAUAGUUCUCGAACCCGUAGGGUCCGCACGCUUAACGUUCGUUGACGAUAUAGUAUUUAUGAGUUAUGUAUGUUGGUAACCGAAUGUUGUUCGGAGUUCCGGAUAAGAUCACGGACAUGACAAGGAACUCCGGAAUGGUCCGGAGAUAAAGUUCGAUAUAUGGGAUAAUAGUGUUUGGUCUUCAGAAGGGUUCUGGAAUUCACCGGAAGUGGUUCCGGAUGUUUCCCUAAAUGUUUGGGUACGAGAACACUUUAUUUGGGCCAAAGGGGAAAGCCCACAAGGUUUUUGGAAAGCGCAAAAGGAAGUUUUGCGGAGUCCAGGGGCCAGACGCCAGGGUCCCUGGUGUCUGGGUCCAGACAUCGGGAACCCUGGCAUAUGGCCCUGUAGUCCGAAAAGGACUCUUGCCUUUCGGGUGAAACCGACUUUGUGGAGGCUUUUACUCCAAGUUUCGACCCCAAGGCUCAACAUAUAAAUACAGGGGCAGGGCUAGCACCCAAGACACAUCAAGAAACACCAAGCCGUGUGCCGGCUACCCCGUCCCCUCUAGUUUAUCCUCCAUCAUAGUUUUCGUAGUGCUUAAGUGAAGCCCUGCGGAGAUUGUUCUUCACCAACACUGUCACCACGCCGUCGUGCUGCCGGAACCCAUCUACUACUUCGCCCCUCUUGUUGGAUCGAGAAGGCGAGGACGUCAUCGAGCUGAACGUGUGCUGAACGCGGAGGUGUCGUACGUUCGGUACUUGAUCGGGACGGAUCGUGAAGGUGUACGACUACAUCAACCGCGUUGAUAAACGCUUCCUCUUACGGUCUACGAAGUAGACAACACUCUCCCCUCUCGUUGCUAUGCAUCACCAUGAUCCUGCGUGUGCGUAGGAAUUUUUUUGAAAUUACUACAUUCUCCAACAUUGUGAACUCAUUCUAAAUUCAUAUUGGUGUAAUAUCUACUGUAUUCCAACUCAUCUAUGGUUCAUACUCUCCGAUACUACUCAUAGAUUCAUCAAAAUAAGCAAACAACACAUAGAAAACAUAAUCUGUCAAAAACAGAACAGUCUGUAGUAAUCUGGAUCAAACUUAUACUUCUGGAACCCCAAAAAUUCUAAAAUAAAUUGUUGAACGUGAGGAAUUUAUCUAUUAAUCAUCUUCAAAAAGAAUUAACUAAAUAUCACUCUCCAAUAAAAAAUGGCAGAUAAUCUCGUGAGCGCUAAAAUUUCUGUUUUUUAUAGCAAGAUCUCAAAGACUUUCCCCAAGUCUUCCCAAAGGUUAUACUUGGCACAAACACUAAUUAAAAGUAUAAAACCACAUCUAAACAGAGGCUAGAUGAAUUAUUUAUUACUAAACAGGAAAAAAAGCAAGGAGCCAAAAUAAAAUCGGGUUGCCUCCCAACAAGCGCUAUCGUUUAACGCUCCUAGCUGGGCAUGAUGAUUUCAAUGAAUCUCACAUAAAAGAUAAGAAUUGAAAUAUAAAGAGAGCAUCUUGAAGAAUAUGACUAGCACAUUUCAGUCUAACCCACUUCCUAUGCAUAGUGAUUUUGUGAGCAAACAACUUGUGGGAACAAGAAUCAACUUGCAUAGGAAGGUAAAACAAGCAUAACUUCAAAACGUUAAGCACAUAGAGAGGAAACUUGAUACUAUUGCAAUUCCUACAAACACAUGUUCCUCCCUCAUAAUAAUUUUCAGUAGCAUCAUGAAUGAAUUCAACAAUAUAACCAUCACAUAAAACAUUCUUUUCAUGAUCUAGAAGCAUAGAAUUUUUAUUACUCUCCACAUAAGCAAAUUUCUUCUCAUGAAUAGUAGUGGGAGCAAACUCAACAAGAUAAUUAUCAUGUGAGGCAUAAUACAAUUGAAAACUAAAAUCAUGAUGACAAGUUUCAUGGAUAUCAUUAUUCUUUAUAGCAUACAAGUCAUCACAAUAAUCAUCAUAGAUAGCAAUUUUGUUCUCAUAAUCAAUUGGAACCUCUUCUGAAAUAGUGGAUUCAUCAUCAAAUAAAGUCAUGACCUCUCCAAAUCCACUUUCAUCAAUAUAAUCAUCAUAAAUAGGAGGCAUGAUUUCAUCAUAAUAAAUUUUCUCAUCAAAACUUGGGGGACAAAAAAUAUCAUCUUCAUCAAACAUAGCUUCCCCAAGCUUCUGUCUUUGCAUAUCAUUAGCAUCAUGCAUAUUCAAGGAAUUCAUACUAACAACAUUGCAAUCAUGCUCAUCAUUCAAAUAUUUAGUGCCAAACAUUUUAAUGCAUUCUUCUUCUAACACUUAGGCACAAUUUUCCUUUCCAUCAUACUCACGAAAGAUAUUAAAAAGAUGAAGCGUAUGAGGUAAACUCAGUUCCAUUUUUUUAUAGUUUUCUUUUAUAAACUAAACUAGUGAUAAAACAAGAAACAAAAAGAUUCGAUUGAAAGAUCUAAAGAUGUACCUUCAAGCGCUAACCUUCCCGGCAACGGCGCUAGAAAAGAGCUUGAUGUCUACUACACAAUCUUCUUCUUGUAGACGUUGUUGGGCCUCCAAGUGCAGAGUUUGUAGGACAGUAGCAAAUUUCGCUCAAAUGGAUGACCUAAGGUUUAUCAAUUCGUAGGAGGCGUAGGAUGAAUAUGGUCUCUCUCAAGCAACCCUGCAACCAAAUAAUGAAGAGUCUCUUGUGUCCCCAACACACCCAAUACAAUGGUAAAUUGUAUAGGUGCACUAGUUCGGCGAAGAGAUGGUGAUACAGGUGCAAUAUGGAUAGUAGAUAAUGGUUUUUGUAAUCUGAAAAUAUAAAAACAGCAAGGUAACGAAUGAUAAAAGUGAGCGUAAACGGUAUUGCAAUGCGUUGAAACAAGGCCUAGGGUUCAUACUUUUACUAGUGCAAAUUCCCUCAACAAUAAUAACAUAAUUGGAUCAUAUAACUAUCCCUCAACAUGCAACAAAGAGUCACUCCCAGGUCACUAAUAGCGGAGAACAAACGAAAAGAUUAUGGUAGGGUACGAAACCACCUCAAAGCUAUCCUUUCUGAUCGAUCUAUUCAAGAGUCCGUAGUAAAAUAAUAUGAAGCUAUUCUUUCUGUUCAAUCUAUCAUAGAGUUCGUACUAGAAUAACACCUUAAGACACAAAUCAACCAAAACCCUAAUGUCACCUAGAUACUCCAAUGUCACUCAAGUAUUCGUGGGUAUGAUUAUACGAUAUUGCAUCACACAAUCUCAGAUUCAUCUAUUCAAACCAACACAAAGUACUUCAAAGAGUGCCCCAAAGUUUCUACCGGAGAGUCAAGACGAAAACAUGUGCCAAACCCUAUGCAUAGGUUCAUGGGCGGAACCCGCAAGUUGAUCACCAAAACAUACAUCAAGUGGAUCACAUGAUAUCCCAUUGUCACCACAGAUAAGCACGUGCAAGACAUACAUCAAGUCUUCUCAAAUCCUUAAAGACUCAAUCCGAUAAGAUAACUUUAAAGGGAAAACUCAAUCCAUUACAAGAGAGUAGAGGGGGAAAAACAUCAUAAGAUCCAACUAUAAUAGCAAAGCUCGCGAUACAUCAAGAUCGUAUCACCUCAAGAACACGAGAGAGAGAGAGAGAGAGAGAGAUCAAACACAUAGCUACUGGUACAUACCCUCAGCCCCGAGGGAGAACUACUCCCUCCUCGUCAUGGAGAGCGCCGGGACGAUGAAGAUGGCCACCAGAGAGGGAUUCCCCCCUCCGGCAGGGUGCCGGAACGGGUCUAGAUUGGUUUUUGGUGGCUACGGAGGCUUCUGGCGGCGGAACUCCCGAUCUAUUGUGCUCCUCGAUGAUUUUAGGGUAUAUUGGUAUAUAUAAGAGGAAGAAAUACGUCAGGGGGGCCACGAGGGUGGAGGGCGCGCCCAGGGGGGUGGGCGCGCCCCCCUGCCUCGUGCCUUCCUCGCUGCUUCCCUUACGUACACCCCAAAUCUUCUGGAUUGCUUCCGUUCCAAAAAUAAGUUCCGUGAAGUUUCAGGUCAAUUGGACUCCGUUUGAUUUUCCUUUUCUGUGAUACUCUAAAACAAGGGAAAAAACAGAAACUGGCACUGGGCUCUGGGUUAAUAGAUUAGUUUCAAAAAUAAUAUAAAAGUGCAUAAUAAAGCCCAUAAACAUCCAAAACAGAUAAUAUAAUAGUAUGGAACAAUCAAAAAUUAUAAAUAUGUUGGAGACGUAUCACGGGCCAUGGUCCCGAGUUGACAAAGCACACGUGGUGCAAGGUGGUGGAGGAGCAAGAGGAGAAAGCCCGUACACUACAGUGUUGCACUGCCGCACUAUUUAUAUUUGCUUGGCCGAUGAGUCAUGGUUAAUUAAAAGUUCUUAUGAUGAAACAUAACAUGUUUACAGAAUCUGGAUCAAGUAGAGAGAUCUAUUAAAAGUUGUUGUGUUAAGCAUUUCCCACUGCAACAUGAGCAUGAACAACUAUGGUCUUGUUCAUGUGAUAGACACAAGGAAGGAUGAUGUCGCUUCUGCUUUCACUCUGUCUCCUUGUAUAGUUGUAGAGUCAUGGUUGAAUCUUAGUAGGUGAUCUAUUGAUGCUUGUAGGAGUUUAUUUGGAUGAAGUGUAGAUCUUGCAUUUGACUAUAGUGUUUUUUUUCCAACAAAGAUCGUGCAUUUAUUUACGCUUAACAAAUAUGUGACACGCAUGAACAACUAACAUCAAAAGCGGAUUGUUUGGAUUUGACAACGCGUACCUAAGCUGCAAGAGGACCGUUGGUCAUGCUACUCUGAGAGAGCUAUAGUUAACAUUCUUCAAGUCCACAUACCUAGAUUUCACCAAUACCUUUCUUGCUCUUUUCCCUGACGGACGGUCAUUAAACGAUGCACCAACUGGAUCUAGCUAAUCGACUUAUCACCGAUUAGCGACUCUUGUUAUUCGCCGAGCUAUGUCGUGUAGCGAUUCUUGUUAUUCGCCGAUCAUCGGUAGUUCCUGGUGUCUCAUAUGCCUACACUCAUCAUUUCAAAUCCCUAGUGUGUAGCUAUCACCAGUAGUUCCUUGUGCCUCAAAUCCGUGGUGUGCAUACAUCAAACAAAUAAUGCACGAAAUGUAAAUGAAUAGGUCCACUGUAAGGAAAUGAGAUGAUGAACAAUAUGUUUAUGCAUAGCUUAGGGAAGCCUCAUUUCUUAUAGAAGACUCGGGUACAUGGUAGUGGUGGUGACAUGAAGUCACUGGUUCUUUGUUUGGUAAAUAGCUAAGAUUUCCUUGGUAGGUAAAAGCCUAUGAGAUAUUAUUAAAACAAAGGCUUGAUUUGCUGUGCUCUUUUCUCCUUUAUACAAACGAAACGAUGGAUUUUUCGAGCUCGUUUUGUCCUUGGGGUAGGUAAGAGCAUGUGAGAUCUAAAAACAAAAGAUGAAUUUGUUACGGACGGUUCUCCUCGGUAGGCUAGAGACAGAGAGAACUUUAAAAAUAACUCAAUUAAAUUUCCAGGCCCGCGGCAAGUGGACGUCCGAAAUGGUGCAAGCUUUCCAGGGCAGCGGCACCAUGACCUGCAGCGCCCUCUUCUCCGGGUGCCUGUUGCCGGAGUCUGGUGGAUGUAAACUGUAAAAACUGGAAGCAUAACGUAAACUGCGGUGACACCCACACCAGAAAUAAACUGCAUAGCCUUCUGCUGUUGCAUAGCAACAUUCAUUAUUAUUAUGUAACUGGUACAACAAACCAAUGCUUGUAAACAAAGAAGCAGCGGUACGGUACAGACACAACCGCGACCUGCGCAGACAUCUAUCACCUGCGAGAUCGCGAUAACUGAGAUGAUGGAACUCAACACAAAGACCGGCUACAAAUAACUUAGGACAGACACCUCAUGCCCACAUCGACUCUAAUGCACCUCCUUCCUUGCUGGGGAGCCAAACCCUAUCUAUCUUCCAUGGAUGUCACAUUCGGCAACUUGGUCUGGGGGCACCGACCUUUCGGAGUCUGCAUCAGGGUCCAGGCGGCACCCGGGUAGCGGUAACAUCGGCUCGCCUCUG
rnacentral:lncRNA from 1 species